rnacentral:tRNA from 1 species
GGAUGUAGCUCAGUUGCACAGCACCUGCCUGGCAAGCACGAGGCCCUGAGUUCAAUUCCCAGUACCA